ensembl:lncRNA
CUUUGAUUUCAGCCUUGUGAGACCCUAAACAGAGAACCGAGUUGAGCCAUGCCAGACUUCUGACCCACAGAAAUGGGAGAUAAUUCAUUUGUGUUCUUUUAAGUCACUGCAUUUAUGGUAAUUUGCUCUGCAACCAUAGAAAACUAAUGCAGUAACAGAAUAUGAUGAGUCUUUGUAUCUUAUGGGACCCAGGCCUCAGCUGUGGUGGGAGGCCCCAGCGUCCCGCGGACCUGGUGGUGUACAGCGGAUGCCAGUGGUAAAUGGUGAAGCAUGUGCAAUGUUGAACAGAAGUGAUGAGAAUGAACAUCCUUGCCUUAAUCCCAGUAUUGCAGGAAAGGAAUCCAUGGUUUACCACUCAGCAAGACUGCUCUGGCCUGCCAAAGCCCCUGCUCCCGCAAUGUCCUCCAGCGCUUACCCCAGAAGGCAGGGCAAGUGUAGGGUCAGCUGGCUCGCCUCCCUCACUGAUCAUCCUUUGUGGCAGUUGUCCAAUGUCUGAGAAGCUGCUUCCCACAACUUUUUUCCUGGCUUCGUGGAACACGGAUAGUCAAUCUUUUGAUUAGCCCUGAGCUAACAUCUGCUGCCAAUUCUCCUCUUCCUGCCAAGGAAGACAGGCCCCGAGCCAACAUCUGUGCCCAUCCUCCUCUCCUUUUCAUGUGGGAUGCCUGCCACAGCAUGGCUUGACAAGCACUGCGUAGGUCCACAACCAGGAUCUGAACCAGCAAACCCAGGGCUGCAAAGCGGAGAAUGUGAACCUAACCCCUGUGCGACCUGACCAGCCCUUGAAAUUUCAAUCUUUUGAAGUUUGUUGAGAUGAUUUGUGAUCAAUCAUAUGGUCGGUUUUGGUAAAUGUUCUGAGGGUACCUUUAAAAACUAUGUAUUCUGAAAGUUUUGGAUGUUUUAUAUCGUCUUAUUCAUACGUACAGCACCAAUAUAUAGCAAAUAGCCGGAGCCCAAGGCAUACCAAAUUGACUAACUCAAAGGUUUUAUCCUAUUGUGGUGAUUCCAGACCAAGCAAGAGAGGAGGAGGAUGACAUCACAGGGGUGCAGGCAGAGAGAAAACUAUUCCAGGGAGCACGGACCUCACAGAGGAACCCCAAGUCACAGCAUUCAGGUUCCCCUAUUCCAACCAAUAUUAAUGCCAAUGCUUUAUGUGAUGUAAAUUAUCCCAAUGUUUUUCUUCCUCUGUUUCUACCAAUUUUCUCUUCAUUGGUUAUAAGCUCCGUAUCAAGAGUGUUUGACAGUGGGGUACUUGAGAUGGGAAAUAUCUUGGGAAAUCUUGAGAAAAGUUAAUGACGUUGAUUUAUAAAGCUCAUAGAGACAUAUAAGAAAUGGUUAAUUUUAUUUCUCCAUUUUUCUCCAAAAAUUCAUAAUUGCUUCUGAGAUUACAUGAGUUUAGAAGAUAUCUACUAUCUCUACCCAAAGGUCCCAUGUUUCAAGUAGAAUCAUUUUUAAUUUUCCCAGUUCUAGUGUCACUUUCUAUUUCUUACAAACAUUGCUCAAGGUCACAACUGUUAGUAACGUACAUCUUCUAACACAUUUAACUUCCCUAUCUAACCCUUCUGCCACUCUUGUGCUGGACCCUGAAAGUUUGAUUAUAGGAGGAAGCGAGGAAAGAGAUCUAGACAAGGCUGAUAGCACAUUCCGGAGGCUUAUAAGCUGCCUCGUGCGCCCCGCUGCAGAUCUCUUCAACCUCCGAGUCCAGCCACAGCUCUAGUGGACAGUUCUGGGCCGGUUUCACCCUGCUCUGUGCAGACAGUGCUGCCCUUCAGGGACCAAGAACCGAGCUUCCUGUCCCCAGGCUUCUCUGAUGCGGCACUGUGUGACGCUCUGGUACCAGGAGGCUCUCCUGUAUUUGCAACCCAUAGGGAUGGGGGAAUUAACGUCCCAUGGGAGCAGCCCUCAGCACACAGUACAGAGAAAUGCUUCCCCUGUUCGUCCCUCGGGCAGCCAGUUCUGAGAUAAAGUUUAAUAAGAAUCCUGAGGAGGUUCUGCGCUAAGUAACCACAACAGUAGCGGACCACGUGAUAACACGACCUUGUCUUGCCUGACUCUCUGCCCCCCCAGCUCCCUGCACUCCCCUCUCUCAUUCGUGCUCCUUAGGAUCACAUUCCCAAAGAGCAUGCAGCUACCUCUGUCUCAGGCUCUGCUUUCAAGAAUAACCUUGAUUAAGACAGGAGGUAAGUAGGUUGCUGGUAGGUUAUAUAAUGCAGGAAUACAAUCUGCCUUGACUCUGCACGUGCUACAAAGAAACACCUAGUCAGCUGGCAGCACAGUUUAUGGUAAUUUCGACGAUUUUCCAUCUUUUUCCUUUUUGAAAGUUCAUCAUCCAUCCUGAAGCCUGAUGGCCUGAAGAAAAAAAAGUUGGUACAAAUUAGAUUCUAAUUGAAUAGGCAAAUUUCUUUCAUGACAGCUCUAAGCCGUUUUCCUUCCUGAGGAGCCUUUGGCUGUUUGGCUGGAUGCUUCAAUUUAACAAGGAGGAGUUGCAGUCUGUUUAACCAGGGCUCACCGAGAAACUGGCCCAUGAACAAAGACCUGAGCAGGAGAAAGCACACAUGGAUAUGAGGAGCACUCAGGAAGAGGGAAAACAAUCCCAAAAACCCGAGAUGGAGAGAGGCCAGCGUGGUUGGAGACGUGAACUCUGUCUGGGAGGAAAAUACCUCACAAAUAAAUAUCUGCAAACACUUUGUAAAGUCAGAGUUUUCUGCAAGCAGCCGCCUUGGUUGUGAUUCUUCGCUGGGUCCUCCAGGAGUCUGUGCAGUGGAAAGAGCACCGGCUUUGCAGUCAGGCAAUUUUUGCUCUUUUGUCUAUUAGCCACGAGAGCUGGAGAAAAUAAUUCCCAUGGGAUACAGUUUCUUCAUUUAUUAAAUAUGAACAAUUAUAGCUACCUAGCAAGGCUGUCAGGAGAAUCACAGCGUACAUGGAUCUGUACAGUUUUACAGUACCAGGAUCUUUCUCUUUAAAAUGUUCACGGAAGUGAUUCCCAAAGUGUAAUUUCCCAACCUGGUGGUUCUUGAGGGCCUCCUGGAGGGGUGAGCAUUUUCAACUUAAUAUUUUUCGCCUGUUCACCCUCCGGCAGUGACAGUGGCCCACAGGCUAAGCUAUGCCUGUGAUGGAAGCUUCUACUGCAAGUGCCUAAUUGCUGAUAUUUGACUUUUUUUAAAAAAAUGCCAAUUUGAUCAACUUAAUAUUGAGAAGAAAACAAAGAUAGGGGUGGGUCGUUGACUACUACAAAAAAGCAAUAAAAGAUGUCUUGUUUC